AUUGAACGCUGGCGGCAUGCCUUACACAUGCAAGUCGAACGGUAACGGGCCUUCGGGUGCCGACGAGUGGCGAACGGGUGAGUAAUGCAUCGGAACGUACCUUUUAGUGGGGGAUAACGUAGCGAAAGUUACGCUAAUACCGCAUCUUCUGUGAGCAGGAAAGCAGGGGAUCGCAAGACCUUGCGCUGAUUGAGCGGCCGGUGUGAGAUUAGCUAGUUGGUGGGGUAAAGGCUAACCAAGGCGACGAUCGGUAGCGGGUCUGAGAGGAUGAUCCGCCACACUGGAACUGAGACACGGUCCAGACUACUACGGGAGGCAGCAGUGGGGAAUUUUGGACAAUGGGGGCAACCCUGAUCCAGCCAUGCCGCGUGAGUGAAGAAGGCCUUCGGGUUGUAAAGCUCUUUCGGUCGGGAAGAAAUCGCAUGGGUUAAUACCCUGUGCGGAUGACGGUACCGGCAUAAGAAGCACCGGCUAACUACGUGCCAGCAGCCGCCGCCG
rnacentral:rRNA from 1 species